rnacentral:tRNA from 1 species
GGAGAGCUGGCCGAGUGGUUUAUGGCAACGGUCUUGAAAACCGUCGUGGGGCGACUCACCGGGGGUUCGAAUCCCUCGCUCUCCGCCA